AUACGUAGGUGGCAAGCGUUGUCCGGAAUUAUUGGGCGUAAAGCGCAUGUAGGCGGUUUGGUAAGUCGGUCGUGAAAAUGCGGUGCUUAACGCAGUAUGGCGAUUGAAACUGCUGAACUUGAGUGCAGGAGCGGAAAGGGGAACUCCCAGUGAAGCGGUUAAUUGCGUAGAUAUUGGGAAGAACAACGGUGGCGAAAGCGCCUUUCUGGACUGUGUCUGACGCUCAGAUGCGAAGGCCAGGGUAGCGAACGGGAUUAGAUACCCCGGUAGUCCUGGCCGUAAACGAUGGGUACUAGGUGUGGGAGGUAUCGACUCCUUCCGUGCCGGAGUUAACGCAAUAAGUCCCCCGCCUGGGGAGUACGGCCGCAAGGCUUAAACUCAAAUGAAUGGACGGGG
rnacentral:rRNA from 1 species